GACGAACGCUGGCGGCGUGCUUAACACAUGCAAGUCAAGGGGGCCCGCAAGGGCAACCGGCGAACGGGUGCGUAACACGUGAGCAAGCUUCCGAUUUGUGGGGGAUAGCCGGCCCAACGGCCGGGUAAUACCGCAUACGUUCACUGGACGGCAUCGUCUGGUGAGGAAACCUCCGGGGGCAAAUCGAGGCGCUCGCGGCCUAUCAGCUAGUUGCGGGGUAAUGGCCCACCAAGGGCUACGACGGGUAGCUGGGUCUGAGAGGAUGGCCAGGCCACAUUGGGGACUGCGACAGGCCCCAGACUCCUACGGGAGG
rnacentral:rRNA from 1 species